AAGAGAGUGCAGAAGGCAAUAUGUUAUACACCAACCCAAGAGCAGGCUAAGAGAGUGCAGAAGGUAAUAUGUUAUACACCAACCCAAGAGCAGGCUAAGAGAGUGCAGAAGGUAAUAUGUUAUACACCAACCCAAGAGCAGGCUAAGAGACUGCAGAAGGUAAUUUGUUAUACACCAACCCAAGAGCAGGCUAAGAGACUGCAGAAGGUAAUAUGUUAUACACCAACCCAAGAGCAGGCUAAGAGAGUGCAGAAGGUAAUAUGUUAUACACCAACCCAAGAGCAGGCUAAGAGAGUGCAGAAGGUAAUAUGUUAUACACCAACCCAAGAGCAGGCUAAGAGAGUGCAGAAGGUAAUAUGUUAUACACCAACCCAAGAGCAGGCUAAGAGAGUGCAGAAGGUAAUAUGUUAUACACCAACCCAAGAGCAGGCUAAGAGACUGCAGAAGGUAAUUUGUUAUACACCAACCCAAGAGCAGGCUAAGAGAGUGCAGAAGGUAAUAUGUUAUACACCAACCCAAGAGCAGGCUAAGAGACUGCAGAAGGUAAUUUGUUAUACACCAACCCAAGAGCAGGCUAAGAGACUGCAGAAGGUAAUAUGUUAUACACCAACCCAAGAGCAGGCUAAGAGAGUGCAGAAGGUAAUUUGUUAUACACCAACCCAAGAGCAGGCUAAGAGACUGCAGAAGGUAAUAUGUUAUACACCAACCCAAGAGCAGGCUAAGAGAGUGCAGAAGGUAAUAUGUUAUACACCAACCCAAGAGCAGGCUAAGAGAGUGCAGAAGGUAAUAUGUUAUACACCAACCCAAGAGCAGGCUAAGAGAGUGCAGAAGGUAAUAUGUUAUACACCAACCCAAGAGCAGGCUAAGAGAGUGCAGAAGGUAAUAUGUUAUACACCAACCCAAGAGCAGGCUAAGAGACUGCAGAAGGUAAUAUGUUAUACACCAACCCAAGAGCAGGCUAAGAGACUGCAGAAGGUAAUAUGUUAUACACCAACCCAAGAGCAGGCUAAGAGAGUGCAGAAGGUAAUAUGUUAUACACCAACCCAAGAGCAGGCUAAGAGAGUGCAGAAGGUAAUAUGUUAUACACCAACCCAAGAGCAGGCUAAGAGACUGCAGAAGGUAAUAUGUUAUACACCAACCCAAGAGCAGGCUAAGAGAGUGCAGAAGGUAAUAUGUUAUACACCAACCCAAGAGCAGGCUAAGAGACUGCAGAAGGUAAUAUGUUAUACACCAACCCAAGAGCAGGCUAAGAGACUGCAGAAGGUAAUAUGUUAUACACCAACCCAAGAGCAGGCUAAGAGACUGCAGAAGGUAAUAUGUUAUACACCAACCCAAGAGCAGGCUAAGAGAGUGCAGAAGGUAAUAUGUUAUACACCAACCCAAGAGCAGGCUAAGAGACUGCAGAAGGUAAUAUGUUAUACACCAACCCAAGAGCAGGCUAAGAGAGUGCAGAAGGUAAGGGGGGUUGUAAAAAGGGGUUGA
rnacentral:lncRNA from 1 species